CCAUCCCUGCAGCGCGUCCGCGGCCCUCCGCCCUCGCCCUCCCCCCUCCCCACAAAUCUCGCCUCCUCACCCAACGCCAUCAGCGCUGCCCUCCGCUCCAUCCCUGUAGCGCAGACCUUCGCCACCGUCCCUGCCCUUCCUCACCGCGCAAUCACCGCCCUUCCCGACGUGCCUCGGCCGCCAUCCACGGCAUCACCUUCCUUCCCCACGCGCGCGCCCCCUCCUCUGUGCGUGCCCCGCCCCCGUUCUUUGCUCACCCGAUGCCCCGCCACCUCCGCCGCGAUAGCCUCCCCCACGAAGUGCCCCCGUGAUGUCUUCCAUUCCCUUCCUCCCUCAUUCGUCCUGUUGCAGCGAUUGCUCCCAGUGGCUCGGCGGCAAUGGAGGCACCACCUGACCCGGUCGUCCCAUCCUGCUCGACGAGAUCGUCGGCGACAUCCACGGUGUGGUUCCAGAUUUUCCUUUGCUGGCUGCCAGGGCUAUCAAUGCAGCUCAGCGAGCUAGCCCCACUGCCAGCUUAGUUGUCGUGACAGCCAUUGGGGCUGCACGCCGUCAGUGGGGUGAAGGCGACAGCUGACGAGAUGUUGGCCGAAGCGGAGAAGGCAAAUGUCCUAGCUGCAAAAAAAAUUGAUCGCCUGCUUCGUCGUUGACCUCCCAUGAUGUUGGUUUAUGCUAUGACUUUCUGAAGGAGAAGAUGAAGAACAUGUCGACGAUGAGUUCGAUGACCGGAGUCUGUGGAGUGAGGUAUUUUGCAAGGACAUGUCCAAUUUACCUCCUCGUCCAACUCUUUCUAAAAUGUGUGCAGAGUACGACCUCACAUAGAUGAGAUACUAGAUCGCUUGAUAUGAGUCAGCUUUUGUUUAUGCUUAUGAAGCCAUUUCUGUUUCACUGAAGUCUGUAUCGUAUGCUUUAUGAACUAUAGUGUAUUGCAGUUUACAAAAGAACCAAAAUAUAGGAAACUCAGUUACCAGUUAGUCCAUUCAGAUUCUGGGCAACAGUUAACAGGAACAGCUAACAGUUAACAUGAACUUACUAGGAAACCCGUUCACAUUUUACAUAAUCCAGUUCUACAAAUUGCAGUUAUUAAAGUGCCAUAAUACUACGAUAACACCAUUGAACAGCUCACAGUUCUACAAGUGCCAUAAUACAUCACUUAUAUCUUUUCCUUCAGAGUAAGCUUCUUCACACCUCUCCUUUCAAUUCUAGGUGUGAAUAGAGUAGAAACAACCUCUGUUGUAGAUUGCACAGGAUCCACAAGUUGCUGAAAGGAAGAUGGCGUUGCACCAAGUUGCUGAUAGGAAGUGCCAGUGGUUACAAGCUGCUGUCAGCGAAGUCAAUGGUGAUGGAGCAGUCUGCGUUCGUUGGCGCAGGGGCAGUCAGCGAAGGAAAAUCUGGAACCGCACUGUGGAUGUCAGCGACGAUCUUGUCGAGCAGGAUGGGACGGCCGGGUCAGGUGGCACCUCCAUUGCCGCCUAGCCGCCGGGAGCAAUCGCUGCAACGGGAAGAAUGAGGGAGGAAGGGAAUGGAAGACAAGACCAUGAUCCAUUUUCACCAACGGGAUAUCAAGCACGGGGGUAAAAGAAGUUAAUGAGCGGCACCUUACGGUUGAUGACAAUAGAAAGGGUUUCAAACCAGCGAUGAAAACAAAACUACAAACAGAAGAGUGUUAUAAGACUGGUAGCAACGGUAGCCUGUAUAUUGCAUCCCCUAAAUACUAAUUUAGAGAUUCCUCCAAAAGAGUUUUUCCCCUAAAUAAAUUUUAUCCGCAGCGGUAUCCUGUACGGCGUAUCCUCUAUGUCCUACGGGCCCAUGCCCAGUCACGCAAACGAGAGGAGCCGGGAGCUAGGACUUGCCGGAUGCUCCCUCGUCCUCCAUAUCUGCGGGAUGGAGCCACCCCCCUGGAUAAUACGGAACGAGGUACCGGGUACCACUGCAGACGUUUUUUAUUCUCAGAUCCGGUAUUCUACAGGUCCAGGACGACAUACAGGCCACCGCUGCUACCAGUCUAAUACUAUAAAUCCAAUUGCAUGAUUUGGGAAGUAAAGACGAUAGUACCCGAUGACGUCCUGGGCAAGGCCGAGGCAAGGUGUUCCAUUACUCCGCCAUGUUUUAUUUCAUUUGUACUACUGUCGUCUCCUAUGGUUUAAUUUCAGCAGUACAAACGGAGCUCAUCCUAUCUCUUUGGUUGAAGCUUUCCCAAAUAUGAGAUUUUUAAAGGUCGUUAUGAUAUCAAAUUAUUAAUAAUGGAUCUCCCAGGCUUGGUAAAUUAGUGGUUCUAAGGUAUUAACACUACUAUUUUUGGUACAUCUCGAUCCUGUCUCUUGUGCAUUGUCCAUCUAGAUAUGUGAGUUUGUCUAUGUCAAUAGAAUCAUUUGCUGAAAUGAGGACACACUAUUUAUCUAUCAAGACACUUCGUAAUAAAGGAGAUGAUUAACAGUGGUUAUAAAAAGUGCAAUAUAAACCUUAUAUAUGUAAAACCCACUAAAGUUUUUAUUUUAUUUCUCUGAGGUUAUAUUAAUUAGUUGGUUAUUUCUCAUCUAAGCUCAAUAAGCACAAACAUGGUUUCAGUAUGUGCAUGGUAUAUCAGUACAUUCUUGCAUGUCAGUGUGAUAUAGUCAUGAAAACAAGCUAAUAUAUUAUUUGCUUAAUAAAAGAAAACCGAGUGUGCGUAUUGAGGCCCUAAACAUGCUGAUUUUCUACAUAUCUUUACGGUCACUCAUACAGUCGUCGAACUUCCAAGUCCUAGUGUAUUUGUUUCUUCAUUGCAAAGAAACUUUUCUCGUUUCUUGGGACUGAAAGCUUACCACAACAAAGGUGAUUUUUGUAGCACCAUUUUGUUCAACUUUGGUCGCUUAUGUUUACAGCAGUUUCUUUUACCUUCAACAAAGGAGUAUUUCUGAAUGUGAUAAACAAUUUUCAAUUGUUGCUUGGUUUCAGGAAUACUACUAAGUGAUACUGGACUUCCUUGGUGGUCUGCGUUCAUCCAUCCAAUAUGGAGGCUCCAACACAUCUCUUCAUUAUCUGUAUCUGGAUUUAUCUGUGUAAUAGCAUUAUGGUGCUCCUAACUUCCAAGCUUCAUUAAACAAGGAAACUGAAAGUGUCAGAACUGCAAUUCAUAUAGACUAGAUUUUUAUGAUACAUUGUAACUAAUGCAUUGGUAAGCAUUACUUUGAAUGUGUGGGUUUUUCCAGGGGUUGAGUGGUAUGUUGUGGUCAGAUUUGGCAACAAUGUAUCUGCCAUCAUGUGCUAUAUCGAUAAAUUAUGAUACAAUGUGGUCAGAUUCUAGGUUUA